ACUAAGCUGCCAGGGGACCUUCUCCAUUCUUGUCCACUAUACCCUGUACGUAGAGAGAGAAGGAGAAAAGAAGAGAAAAGGGAAAAAGAGAAGAAGAAGAAGAAAGUAAUGAAAUUGGUGCCGUUUGACAAGCCAAUCGAAACGAUGCCCGUGCGAUUUUUAGUGUUUCGACACUCGGGUUCUAGCGAGUGCGGGGUGGUUGAGGAUCGUGACACGGACAGUGCUUAAUAGAUAGCGACAUCCAUUGAGUAUAGUUAUACCUUGUACAUUUCAUCUAUUUAUAGUUGAUGAAAAAAAAUAUAAAUUAUUCAUUUGAGAGAUGACACAUGUAUAUGUUAGAAGAAUGAAUGUAUGUAAUCGCAAUGUAAGAUUUGUAUUUGAUUUAAAGUAAUCAGAAUACAAUGUAUAAAUGUUUUAGUUAGUUA